rnacentral:rRNA from 1 species
CUUUACUAUAGCUUUGCACUGGACUUUGAAUUUGCUUGUGUAGGAUAGGUGGGAGGCUUUGAAGCGUGGACGCCAGUCUGCGUGGAGCCAUCCUUGAAAUACCACCCUGGCAACUUUGAGGUUCUAACUCAGGUCCGUUAUCCGGAUCGAGGACAGUGUAUGGUGGGUAGUUUGACUGGGGCGGUCUCCUCCUAAAGAGUAACGGAGGAGUACGAAGGUGCGCUCAGACCGGUCGGAAAUCGGUCGUAGAGUAUAAAGGCAAAAGCGCGCUUGACUGCGAGACAGACACGUCGAGCAGGUACGAAAGUAGGUCUUAGUGAUCCGGUGGUUCUGUAUGG